rnacentral:tRNA from 1 species
GCCCCGAUAGCUCAGUUGGUAGAGCAUUCGCCUAGAUAGCGAGAGGCCCCCAGUUCAAGCCUGGGUAGAGGAG